UGGGGAAUAUUGCACAAUGGGGGAGCCCUGAUGCAGCGACGCCGCGUGAGUGAAGAAGUAUUUCGGUAUGUAAAGCUCUAUCAGCAGGGAAGAAAGUGACGGUACCUGAGUAAGAAGCCCCGGCUAACUACGUGCCAGCAGCCGCGGUAAUACGUAGGGGGCAAGCGUUAUCCGGAUUUACUGGGUGUAAAGGGAGCGUAGACGGCGCUGCAAGUCUGGAGUGAAAGCCCGGUGCUUAACACCGGGACUGCUUUGGAAACUGUAACGCUGGAGUGCCGGAGGGGCAGGCGGAAUUCCUGGUGUAGCGGUGAAAUGCGUAGAUAUCAGGAAGAACACCAGUGGCGAAGGCGGCCUGCUGGACGGUAACUGACGUUGAGGCUCGAAAGCGUGGGGAGCAAACAGGAUUAGAUACCC
rnacentral:rRNA from 1 species